rnacentral:rRNA from 1 species
UGCAUCAUCGACCGACCUGUUCUACUCUUAGAAAGGUUUGAGUAAGAGCGCACCUGUUGGGACCCGAAAGAUGGUGAACUAUGCCUGAAUAGGGUGAAGCCAGCGGAAACACUGGUGGAAGCUCGUAGCGAUUCUGACGUGCAAAUCGAUCGUCGAAUUUGGGUAUAGCGGCGAAAGACUAAUCGAACCAUCUAGUAGCUGGUUCCCUCCGAAGUUUCCCUUAGGAUAGCUGGAGCUCGGAUGCAGU